rnacentral:rRNA from 1 species
UACAGAGGGUGCGGGCGUUGUCCGGAAUCACUGGGCGUAAAGGGCGCGUAGGCGGCCGAUCAAGUCGGGGGUGAAAGCCUGUGGCUCAACCACAGAAUGGCCUUCGAUACUGGUUGGCUCGAGACCGGAAGAGGUGAGUGGAACUGCGAGUGUAGAGGUGAAAUUCGUAGAUAUUCGCAAGAACACCAGUGGCGAAGGCGGCUCACUGGUCCGGUACUGACGCUGAGGUGCGAAAGCGUGGGGAGCAAACAGG